rnacentral:tRNA from 1 species
GUGAGUGUAGCUCAAUUGGUUAGAGCGUUUGGCUGUGGCCCAGAAGGCUGGGGGUUCAAGUCCCCUCACUCACC